rnacentral:rRNA from 1 species
GACGAACGCUGGCGGCGCGCUUAACACAUGCAAGUCGAACGGAAAGGCCUGCUUUCCCUUGUGGAUUGCGGGUACUCGAGUGGCGAACGGGUGAGUAACACGCGAGUGAUCUGCCCCCAACUUGGGUAUAAGCCUGGGAAACUGGGUCUAAUUCCCGAUAGGACUGCAGGGUGGUGCCUGUGGUGGAAAACGAUUUUCUAGUGGUUGGGGAUGAGCUCGCGGCCUAUCAGCUUGUUGGUGGGGUAAUGGCCUACCAAGGCGGCGACGGGUAGCCGGCCUGAGAGGGUGGACGGCCACAUUGGGACUGAGAUACGGCCCAGACUCCUACGGGAGGCAGCAGUGGGGAAUAGUGCACAAUGGGCGGAAGCCUGAUGCAGCGACGCCGCGUGGGGGAUGACGGCCUUCGGGUUGUAAACUCCUUUCGACCGCGAGGAAGCCACCUGGUUGGAAGGGUGGUGACGGUAGUGGUAGAAGAAGCACCGGCUAACUACGUG